rnacentral:rRNA from 1 species
UACGCAGGUCCCGAGCGUUGUCCGGAUUUAUUGGGCGUAAAGCGAGCGCAGGUGGUUUAUUAAGUCUGGUGUAAAAGGCAGUGGCUCAACCAUUGUAUGCAUUGGAAACUGGUAGACUUGAGUGCAGGAUAGGAGAGUGGAAUUCCAUGUGUAGCGGUGAAAUGCGUAGAUAUAUGGAGGAACACCGGUGGCGAAAGCGGCUCUCUGGCCUGUAACUGACACUGAGGCUCGAAAGCGUGGGGAGCAAACAGG